rnacentral:rRNA from 1 species
UACGGAGGGUGCAAGCGUUGCUCGGAAUCACUGGGCGUAAAGCGAACGCAGGCGGCACGUUAAGUCGGGUGUGAAAGCCCUGGGCUCAACCCAGGAAGUGCACUCGAAACUGGCGCGCUAGAGUACGGGAGAGGGGAGUGGAAUUCCUGGUGUAGAGGUGAAAUUCGUAGAUAUCAGGAGGAACAUCGGUGGCGAAAGCGGCUCCCUGGUCCGUAACUGACGCUCAUGUUCGAGAGCGUGGGUAGCAAACAGG